GAGCUGCAGGGGUACAGAAAGAGAGAGAAAAGGAUCCGGGGUGAGGAGAGGCGACCCGGAGCGGAGCGCCGACCACGGCUCUCUCCCCACUCUCCGAGAGCGACCCGGCCGAGGCUACGGGCCGUGUCAGCCCCAGCCCGCCACCCGCGCGGGCCCCGGCGUCUCGCGUGCGCCUGGCUCCCCGGGCUACGCCUCCUGCGCCCAGCCGGCCGCGGCCCCCUCCCUCAGACAACCCGACGCCGCUCGCCAAAGUGUUUUGGUGCUGGUGGAGCGAACUCACGCCCCUAGCCAGCCUUCUCAGCGACUCGUGCCAAGAGUACUCGUUCACCAGCACCGCCCCUUUAAGAGAUUUCAACUGCAGACAUUUUUUAACUUUUUAAAGACAGGAUUCAGGAAUCUGAAAAGGGCUGGAAUAUAUGACCUUCAGCUGAGGUUCCCUGAGGAGAUUCUUUCAAACCAAGCAACAAAGAAAUACAGAGGUUAGGUUGGGUUAAACUGGGAAGUGCCAUGAAGACCUCAUAGAAGUAGACCAGGAUAAAAUAAGGCCAAAGGAGAAAGAAAAUCCAAGGCAUAUUAUUUAAAGAUGAUUUUAAAAACCAAGAUGUUACACCGAACUAUUACAUGUAGGCUUCGGCCCUUAAGGCCUACCUGCUUCUUUUGGUUCCUGAAAAUUUCUAACACAACUAAAUCCUUUAAAAUAUGUAUGGUUUUGGGGCGCCUUGGUGGCUCAGUCAGUUGAGUG